rnacentral:rRNA from 1 species
CGUAGGUCCCGAGCGUUGUCCGGAUUUAUUGGGCGUAAAGCGAGCGCAGGCGGUUUGAUAAGUCUGAAGUUAAAGGCUGUGGCUCAACCAAUAGUUCGCUUUGGAAACUGUCAAACUUGAGUGCAGAAGGGAGAGUGGAAUUCCAUGUGUAGCGGUGAAAUGCGUAGAUAUAUGGAGGAACACCGGUGGCGAAAGCGGCUCUCUGGUCUGUAACUGACGCUGAGGCUCGAAAGCGUGGGAGCGAACAGGAUU